GCCGCCUUAGCUUAGUAGUAAAGCAGCGCUUUCGUAAAGCGAAGACCCCCAGUGCAAAUCUGGGAGGCGGCU
rnacentral:tRNA from 1 species